ACCGGCUCUGAAAGGGAAGGGAGACAUCUUCUGCACAAGGCCACAGAGACCUCUGAGGAGAUGGAGACUCCUGAAGUCCUGCAGGGGGGCUGGAAAUGUGUUUUCUGAAAGAAACACAUUACCUGUGCACAUUCACUGGUCUCAGGCCAGCACCUGUCCGCUGUUCCCACUGGACUCGACGACACUUGGCAGAUGUGAGGGAUUCUCCCUCAUUUCCCAGGUUAACAGCUACAAUUGGAGUGUGCCAUGGGGCAUACUCUGGAUGUUACCUGCUAACGAGCUGCGCACUGAAACUGGGCCCUGAAAAAGCAGACCUAGGGCAGCCGACUCCAUCUUGUUCUGUAAAGAAGUUCCCGCUCAAGCCUCAGACCACGCCUCCUCCCCUUGAGUAACUUCCUGCUCACCUGUUCAAACUUCCCAAUCAAACCAUGCCUGGCAACCUGCGUGACGGGACUCUGAUCCUUCCCCAGCCAAUCAGCUGAGGCCACGACUCUUCCCCAGCCAAUCGGCUAAGGCCAUGAUCCCUAUAAAACCUUUGUGCUCUUGAAACCCGCUCUCCCUCCCCAGUAUCUUACCACUGCAUCAGCGCAGGUAGCGGAUUGAGCUCGAGCUAGCUCGAAUAAAGGCUCUUUGCUUUUGCA
rnacentral:lncRNA from 1 species